rnacentral:rRNA from 1 species
CAGACGAACGCUGGCGGCGUGCCUAAUACAUGCAAGUCGAGCGGACAGAUGGGAGCUUGCUCCCUGAUGUUAGCGGCGGACGGGUGAGUAACACGUGGGUAACCUGCCUGUAAGACUGGGAUAACUCCGGGAAACCGGGGCUAAUACCGGAUGCUUGAUUGAACCGCAUGGUUCAAUUAUAAAAGGUGGCUUUUAGCUACCACUUACAGAUGGACCCGCGGCGCAUUAGCUAGUUGGUGAGGUAACGGCUCACCAAGGCAACGAUGCGUAGCCGACCUGAGAGGGUGAUCGGCCACACUGGGACUGAGACACGGCCCAGACUCCUACGGGAGGCAGCAGUAGGGAAUCUUCCGCAAUGGACGAAAGUCUGACGGAGCAACGCCGCGUGAGUGAUGAAGGUUUUCGGAUCGUAAAACUCUGUUGUUAGGGAAGAACAAGUACCGUUCGAAUAGGGCGGUACCUUGACGGUACCUAACCAGAAAGCCACGGCUAACUACGUGCCAGCAGCCGCGGUAAUACGUAGGUGGCAAGCGUUGUCCGGAAUUAUUGGGCGUAAAGCGCGCGCAGGCGGUUUCUUAAGUCUGAUGUGAAAGCCCCCGGCUCAACCGGGGAGGGUCAUUGGAAACUGGGGAACUUGAGUGCAGAAGAGGAGAGUGGAAUUCCACGUGUAGCGGUGAAAUGCGUAGAGAUGUGGAGGAACACCAGUGGCGAAGGCGACUCUCUGGUCUGUAACUGACGCUGAGGCGCGAAAGCGUGGGGAGCGAACAGGAUUAGAUACCCUGGUAGUCCACGCCGUAAACGAUGAGUGCUAAGUGUUAGAGGGUUUCCGCCCUUUAGUGCUGCAGCAAACGCAUUAAGCACUCCGCCUGGAGACGCGUUG